rnacentral:misc_RNA from 1 species
AACGCAUAUUGCGCUCUUUGGUAUUCCGAAGAGCAUGCUUGUUUGAGUAUCAGUAAACACCUCAAAGACUUCAAUUUGUUUUGAAUGGCUUUGGACUUGAGCAAUCCCAACACCAGUCGUUUACGAUCGGCGGAGGGUUGCUUGAAAUGCAGGUGCAGCUGGACAUUCUCCUGAGCUAUAAGCAUAUCUAUUUAGUCCCGUCAAACGGAUUAUUACUUUUGCUGCAGCUAACAUAAAGGGAGUCUGACCGUAUUGGCUGACUGAUGCAGGAUUUCACAAGGGUUGGAAACGACUCUUGUAAAACUCGAUCUCAAAUCAAGUAAGACUACCCGCUGAACUUAA